UGUGUACUCCCUCCGUUUCAAAAUACUUGACUUCCAUUUGUCCAAAAAUGGAUGUACCUAUAUACUAAGACAUGUCUAGAUACAUAUAUAUUUUGACAAAUAGAAGGCAUGUAUUGUGCAACGGAGGGAGUAGAAU
rnacentral:pre_miRNA from 1 species